rfam:Lysobacter gummosus strain 3.2.11, complete genome.
ACUCGAAAAAGGCACACCCGGCGAGAGCCGGCGUCGCAAAGCCUCCGGGUACCGGUCCCACGCCGGCACGGCCGAGCUACCGAG